UACGUAGGGGCAAGCGUUGUCCGGAUUUAUUGGGCGUAAAGAGCGUGUAGGCGGCCUGAAAGGUCAGCUGUGAAAACUCGAGGCUCAACCUCGAGACGUCGGUUGAAACCAUCUGGCUAGAGUCCGGAAGAGGAGAGUGGAAUUCCCGGUGUAGCGGUGAAAUGCGGCAGAUAUCGGGAAGAACACCCGUGGCGAAGGCGGCACUCUGGGACGGUACUGACGCUG
rnacentral:rRNA from 1 species